rnacentral:rRNA from 1 species
GCGUUGUCCGGAAUCAUUGGGCGUAAAGAGCGCGUAGGCGGCCCUGUAAGUCCGCUGUGAAAGUCAAGGGCUCAACCCUUGAAUGCCGGUGGAUACUGCAGGGCUAGAGUCCGGAAGAGGCGAGUGGAAUUCCUGGUGUAGCGGUGAAAUGCGCAGAUAUCAGGAGGAACACCGAUGGCGAAGGCAGCUCGCUGGGACGGUACUGACGCUGAGGCGCGAAAGCGUGGGGAGCAAACAGG